ACAUAAUGAAAGCAUGAAAGCAGAUUCACACGAUGGAUGAACAUGAAAAGCCAAACAUAUCGAUCACUCCGUACAUCGCUGGCAACCAGCUGUUCUGGCAGCAGUCUUACAAGGGCUUUGCUGCAGUCAGACACGACAUAAUGAGGAGCAAGCAGAGGAGCCUGGACCGGAUGGUGGACUCUGUCCAGCAAACGCGCUUGCUGUGUGCCUGCAACCUGCUGCACAGAGGCAGAGAAGCAGUGGCAGUGCUGCAGGGAGCAUCAGGACGGCAGAGCUGCCUGAAGGGCCCAACCAUCCCAACCCUCUGCCUCCCUCGGGCUCUGAUCCACGACUCCCGAGGCGGGUGGUGCUGAAGGACUUGCAUUGCCAACUUGAGGCAGGACUGGUGUUAAGAGGAUCUCACAGCAGAGCGAUGAGCUGGAACAUCAGCAGUGCCAGAUCAGCAUCUUUUGUCCCAUCAGGUAAGCUGACAUCAUAUCCCAAGGACACCUUUUUGUAGCUCUCCAGCAGGUCCCUGUGUUGCAAAGCCACGCUGCGAGUGUUACAUGUGAUGCUUUCAGCAGGUAAUCCCAGAUUUCUUGGAGAGAGAGCUUUAGCAGUAUUACUGCGUGACACAAUUUGAUAUUGAGGUGAAACAAAUCCUUUCUGGAUCUUCGCUCCUUGAAGCGGGGUGUCAGCAGCAGCAGCAGACUGAGCAGUCGCCACUUGCAGCCAAUUUACUUGAGCAAGGUUUUGAAAUAACUUUGUGACAACCUCCUAAUGAAAGCGAGGACAGCACUGUUCUAAGAAGUCUAAUUGAUUGCAAGUGUCCAGCGCUUCUCAGUCCCGGGGAAAGCAUUGCAAGAGCCAUAAAUAAGCACUGUAGCUCAGGGCUCAUACAUCAUUUUAAACAUUCACCUUUUGGAAAAGAUGGGAAACGGUGAAAUAAACAGGGGCUGUAAUUCUGGUGGUUUAGCCACAUUGGAUUUAUUAAAUAAAGAUGUGGAGAAAAGUCCACAUCUCUUGCAAAGUCAGUGCGUAUGGCAUAAAAGAAUGAGUGAGGCAGGGUGUAUAUAUGUGGGUCUGCAUGCACGUGGUUUGGGAGGAAUGAGGAAAACAAGGUAGAAAUAUGGAGCUGUGUAGGAGCUGGCACCGGCACAGGCAUUAAGAACACUGGGAGUCCUACCAGCGCUUCAGCAAGUCUACUGAAAUGACCUUGAACAUCCCAAGAAGCACAGAUUCGCUACUGAAGCUUCUUGAAGACAAAGAUAAUGCUGCUAUGUCUUCUCUAAUUAGAUUUUUAAGUGCUUCAGGGUGAGGACUGACUUUUCACCGGGGAUGCAACAGCAUCCAGAAGAAUGAAGCUCUGAAGCACGACAGAGCAUCUGACUUUAUUAUUUGAAUAAUGGCCAAAUCAUAAAUAGCAUAAUAAUAAGAUGAAAAUGAUAGGAUGGAACAAGAAGUAACACUACUAAUAUGAUAAUAGCGGUAAUUACAGCCAUGUUAUUAGUUAUAAUUAUCUGACUGCGUUCAGGCCUGAUCAGAGGGUUGAGUUCAGCAGGGAAAUGUGUCCAAAUGUACCAGGUCAUGGCACCUACAUGUGGGGAGUCCCAGGCAGGAGCUGGGGGCUGGGGAGAUUCCAUCUCUGUGCAACUUGUCCCCAAAUGUCUGUGUGCAUUUGGAUGUCUCAGUGUCACAGCUCUGGAUAGGAAGCUAGCAGCCAGGAGAUGGGGUCAGAUUCUGGUGUCUGAAUCAGAGGUGUGGGUGACUCAAAUGGGCCACCUGGGGUUCCCUCUGGUAAGCCCACGUCACCUCUCCAAAGAAACCAAACUAAAGAAGUAAUUUAAGGUUCUUUGGUUGCAGUGAAUAGAAAUGGGGAGUUUCAAGGCUAAUUCAUCAGAUACAAGCAUGUCUGAACUUAGACCAUGUGUCUAAUAUGUCUCCUGUGCAACCUGGAACAACGGUAGUCAUUUUUUUUUUGUUCCUGCACUGCCACGCCAUCACCCAACUGUUUCUUUUCCUGCAGCUACACAACACCUAUACAACAAAGUUCCGACUUUUCCUGGAUUCAGUAGGUCUUACUGAAGUACCAUUUAUCUAUAAUAACAAAUAUUACAAACAAAGCCUUCCUUAGAUAAGUACUGAGCAAUCCUGCCCUCCGGUUUCAUUUGAAGAAUGUCUUUUAAGCUUUAUGUUGGCAGUAGAUAAAAUAAUCUGCUACCGAUCUGUGAGCACUGGCUGCAAUUUAUAUCUACCAGUGCAGAGGUUGGUUGAUCACCAAUACAGGCAGUAACCUGGCACAGCUGGAAAGUGCAGAAUAAUAUCAGGUUGGAUAUUAGGAAGAAAUUCUUCUCAGAGAGAGCGGUGUUGCAUUGGAAUGGGCUGCCCAGGGAGGUGGAGGAGUCCCCAUCCCUGGAGGUGUUCAAGAAAAGAGUAGAUGUGGUACUAAGGGACAUGGUUUAGUGGGCGUGGUGGGGAUGGUUUGAUGGUUGGACUUGGUGAUCUUAGUGGUCUUUUCCAAUCUUAAUGAUUCUACGAUUCUAUGAACUGAGAGUGGCUUCCUGAAAUGCCUCCUGUAACGUAGAGCAAUGGCAGUCAUUUCUUUUUGCUCCUGCACUGGCAUGUCAUGGUAUCAACCAACAUAGGGAGCAGUGAUGAGAGUUCUCCUGAGAUAUUUCCCUUUCUGGAGAGUCUGGGAACUCCAAAAGCAAAUUCAUGUUGAACUACUGGAAACAAAGAAGUAUCAGCUAGGAACAUCCCCCUAUGAAAGUCACAGCCAGCCACAGCUUUAUUCCUGUUAUUAUUUUAUUUUGGAUUUUUAGCUGAAAAGUGAUUAUCUUAAAAAAAUUGGAGACAAUCAGAAGUUUUCAGAAGACUCUAGCUGGCUUGUCACUUCUUACUGUCCUUGUAAGAGCUGGCAGGAGGGUGUAUUCUGUUAACUGUAUGAGUAGGAACAUGGCACUUGCUUCUUCAGUACAGACCUUCAAAAAUCUUCUACCGCUUGCCCUUUGCUGGAGGUGGAAUUGUCUCCUCACCAAGAGCCUGAAGGUGCUUCAACGCCAAGUGCCACUGUCAUGGAGGGGAUGUGACUGAUGCAGCAGCAUCAGAGAUGUUGUACUUGCAUGGAUGCUUCUCAGACUUGCUAUGGAGUGUCUGCCACCAGUAGUUUUCCCUAUACAAACCUCACGUGGAAUCAAGGAUAAGGCUAGCAAAACCAUGACCUGAAGAUUCCUCUAAAAGGUAUAUUUUUAGGGGCCACAAAGCAGGCAGGAAUCUUCAGUUCCAUGCGACUCCUCCACUAAGAAGCCCAUUACCCAGCACUUACUGCAAACUAGCGGUACAUGUGGAUGCACAUUUACUUAGCCUUUUCCUCUUUGUUCCUUCUUUGAGCAAACACUGACUUCAGACCAAUCCAUCAAAGAUUCAUAGUUUAUACUUGGAGAUCACUGACAGUUAAACUUACUGUACUAUGCUGGUACCCCUUCAUAGGCUGAUACACCUUUUCCUCUCCCGCUGCACAAGAAGAGAGGAAAUGGGGCAAAUGUGAUGGAGUUCUGUAGGGAAGGGCUUCACUGGAAGCCUUGGAAACUGGGAAGUAAAACCAUGUAUGAUACAGAAAGUACUAUGGGAAGGCAUCCUUUUUCAUCCAAUGAUAAAUCGAGACUUUGAUGAAAGAAAUGUAUAUAUAUUUUUUCAGAAGUGUAUUUUAAAUGAAAAUUUGGAACUUUUGCAUUCAAAACUUAUUCUGUUUUCAGUGGUUUUACUCCAGUUUUGUAACUUUAUUCAGAAAGCUGCUUUUGUUUUGUGCUUGUGGGCACACGUGUAUUUGUGAAUAACUGAUGUUGUCUAACUGGGAUUAUUCAUACUGUUAACCUCCUCCACAAAACUACAAGAUUGACAUAAGUACGUUUUUGCUCAAUUUUAAAUUGGGUUGACCCCAAAUCACUAUGGAGUGAAGACAGCUUUGGGACUAAAUAGAAUGAUGUCUUUGGAAAUGGAGAACAUGUUAGUUAUGUUGGUAGAUGGAUUUCCUGACAGGAGCUUAAACAGAGCACUUAAGUACUGUCUUCAGCAUCUUAUUGUCUCUGAUGAGAUCAUGAUUCAGACUACCCAAGCAGUAUCUCAAGUACGUGAACCCUCAGGGAGAAGAACUGGCUCCAAGGACAGCAUUUUGAUGCAUAGGUUAGCAGUGAAUUCAGGUUUAAUUAGCUUGUCUCUGCCAACUUAAAACAUAUCAUCAAAUAAGAUUACAAGUAGGAGGUAAAGACGGCCAUGCUCAGGUUUACAACUUGAGCCACAGACAAGAGUGACCACACGAAAAUAAAUUCUGCAGACAGAUGUAGCCAGGAGAAGGAUCAGCCCCCCACAAAUAAUGUACCUGCCGGGGAGAUGCCUAAUUGAGCCAUAACAAAGCCAUUUGUCAUGACCACGGUGUAUUAACUACUUGGACAAAUGAAAAUCAUAGAAUCAUAGAAUCACCAAGGCUGGAAAAUACAUCCAAGAUCAUCAGUCCAACCAUCCACCUAUCACCAAUAUCUCCCACUAAGCCAUGUCCCUUGGUACGACAUCUAGCCAGGCUCUACCACAGGUCAGUCUUUCUCCCCCUUUUUUUAGGGCUUCAUAUUGUUUCAUACAACUCCUGGCAGGUGCCUGAGGCUCACUGGUCCUUCUCAGGCUCUCUUCCAGCCCACAGAAUGAUGGUGUUCACCUUCGGGUUUUUGUUUCAUUUUCAAGCUUUGCUUUUUAAAUCACUGUUUUAAUGUUUUUUGGAGGAUUGCAACCUCAAGAGAAUGAGCCAUCCUGAGCUAGAUAAACAGUUUACAAAGUGCAUCAGCACUGCCAAGUACUUGCUGCAAGGAGCUUCACAAAUCCCUGCUAUUGCAGGAAAUCCAUGCAGCUACUAAGUGUCCACAUACAUAUUAGCUAGGUGUGAAAAAACAGAAUUCCAAUGACAUUUCGAGCAAAUAAUAUAAGGGACUGAGCAAUACUGCAGCAAAAAAUUCAACCCAUGGUACAAAACAGUUAUGAGAAACCACUGUGUUUAGCUCCAUGCUUCCCUGGAUGCUAGAGGGGAAUACUUGAAUAGCAGAUUUCCCCAGUUACGAUAGCCAAGGCCUCAAUCUAAGUUUCCGUAGCAUUUUUGUAUUGUUAUGACCUGUUUCAACAUGGCAAUGACUCUGAAAACUUGAAUUCCUUGGGCAAGCUAUCCCAAAGAGUUAUUAUUAUUGUUUCUGUUAUUGUUGUUGUUAUCAUUGCUGUCAUUAUUAUUUCCGCAGAGAAAUGUUUCAUCCUUCUCCACGUAGAAAUUAGCAAGGAAAGGGUUUGCUUGUAUUUUCAUAACUUCACCUGUCUGUUUUGAAGCAGGGGGUUGACGCCCUGUAGGGCACCCAGUAGGAGUUUCUCUUUUACUAUUUUUUAGUGCUACAUGACACUGCAAAGUGGGUCUGAAAUUCCAGGACCAGAGCUACAAAAGCAUUCUGCUCUCAUACCUACAGCUGAAGGCAGUGAGAACUCAAUUGUGAAUGGAAGUGCCAGAAAUGCAAGCAGAAGUAUUUUGUGCAGGAACUGCAAUACUUGACAUAGAGAAAGGAGUUGGUGGAGGGAACUCAGCUGAUAAAACAGGCAGGAGUACGUGAGAAUGUUAAAAGUGAAAAUCUCUAAUUUGGCAUUAGUAAAUUGUCUACAGUGACAACUUUGGCUUUAAUCUGAGCAGACCUGUCUGGCUGUAAUAAAAAUACCACUUCUUCCCUUAAAAAUGGUGUGAAAGAAAGUGAAAAAUACCAUGGGAGAAUUAAUACACUAUGAUCAUCCUAGAAAGGAUGAUGAGGAAAUUGAUAUUUCUGUACUCAGUGCAGAGCAUGGACAAUAUGCAGUAAAGCAAUGCCUGGCACCACAAAUACAUGGAGAGCCUAAUGAGAUACUGAGCAGGUACCCAAUCAGAAAUAGCAUCAGUGUUGUGCCCAGGAUGAGACCAGAGCUGUGUGCAACCAUGUAAAACCCCAAUCAGAAUAUUACAUAUAAAUGAGCCCAGUUACCUUAGCUCUGUCACACGCACUUGGAAUUAUGACCUUGAUUUUUUUUUAAUGCAGUGAUUGAGGGUGAAAAAAAAUGACACGGUCAAGCCUCUGUGCACCUUUACUGGGUUUCACAACAGAGACUGAAAGUGUCUGCUUUUAAAAGAUGAGACGUUACGCCUUGACUACAAAGAGCACCUUGCUGUUGACAAGUAGCACAUCCAGCUGGCUUUAUGGAAACUCCAGGUUCAGAUUGUUUUUAGCAACAUCUGAAUUCCCAGACUGCAUAUUGGCAGCCUGCUGUUCACCCAGAUCCCCGAAGGCUCUGCCUCCACACUGGGUGUUAGGGGAGGGGGAAAAAAAGAGCUCAAAUACAAGAACUUCUGGGGAUGACUUUUGUUGCACCAGGAAAGUGAUAAGAAAGCUUCCUCCCCUUCAAAGGAUUGAAAGGAAAUGUGAAAAUAAAUUGGGCCUUGGUCAUAUUGUGAGAUAAGUCCAACAGGUAAGAUCGUCAGGGAAGUCUUCAGAUGAAAACAGGAUCUCCCAUGUUCCUAUGACCCUGACUUCUUUAGGAUAUUUUUGUAAGUAAUUGUAUUUGUUAGCAGUAAGAUUUUGGUUUGGUAAUUCUUUGCAUUUUAAGGAAAGUUAGUAGCGAUUACAAGUUUCCAGGCUGGUCAUUUCAUGAAAAACAAAACAAACCAACCAACCAAACAAAAAACACAGAAAAAACUUCAAUAAGAAGAGAAGAAAAUCACUCGGGCUGCUGCUCAUUCUCAUCACCUUUGCUUGAACUGUCAGUCAAAACUGGCCAUUGGCACUGAAAGGGAUGCUUGACCAUAUGGACCAAUUUUAGCAUCUUCUCCAAGUGGAAGUGGAAGGCAGUGUACGUGGCCAGGCUGCUUUGCCAUGACCCAGCAGUGCCCUCCAAGCAUCCUGGCUUUCAAACUAUCCUGUCUGUCAUCUUAUUGCUCAUUUUGAAUGAUGAUAUUAAUAGAAAUUAUGUUAAUUUUGCCAUCAAAUGCAAUUAAAGUCAGACUAAAAAGCACCUAGUGAAAUUUGCAAUAGUGCUCUGAAAAUGCAGCCAGAUGCUCUUUGCACUGAAGUUACCUAAUGUCUUAGAAAUUUCAUUACUUUGACCCACCUUUAUUUACUGACAUUAAGCCCAAGUAUUUGAUGCUUCUGAAGAUGAGAUAAAGGAGAAGAGCCCCCUACACUACCUAUAAGGCCAACUCCAUGGACAUGCUGAUUUCCUUAACAGUACUGUGAGUCUCUUUGUGUGUACGCUAAGUUGCGUUGUGCCUGUCAAUCCAACAUAAAGGUCAAUGUACCAAAGAGGUACAUACAUGGACUUUCACAUUUCCAUCUUCAAGAGAUGUUUUAGGUGAGUUGAAGUCCCGCUCUGCACUGCUGUUGGGCUUGUAAGACCAUGGUGUCUGAUGGGGAAGGGCUACAUGUAAGGGUUUUCUUUGUUCUUCAGUAUUCUGAUACAGGGUGUAUGGAAGCAGGUCUUCUUGCCUCGAGGCACUGCUCUUACAAAGGGGCAGAAGGUCUCUGGAUGCCUGUCUCACCCCGAAGACACCACUCUGCAUGUAGCUGCCCAUCACCACCCAGUCAUGAGGUCCUGCUGCUUCUUGUGGACCAGAUGGCAUGUAGCUACCAAUUUUUUUUUACAGGUUUCACUAAAAACAUGGCUACUGCCAGGUAAUGCAGGUUCUGCUGAAAACCUAAUGCAAAGCAUUACAAGUCCUGUAUGACUUGAGCUAGAUUUUCAUCUGUACACUUUAGAGGUAGUCACGUAGCUAAGUGACAUUGAACUGAGAAAUCUAUAAAGUGGAGUGUCUUUGUUAUCCAUCUCAUGCAAGUAGUAAUGUCAUCUUUAGCUCUUAUUCGUGCCAAUUAGCUAAAACCCCAUGGAGGAGGAAUAGAUAUAUAAUUCCAGCUGGAGCUGAUGCGUCAUGUGUGGCUGCUGCCACAGGUCCUCAGCUCCGACUCAUCAUUCAUCUAACUAGUCACAGAGGUGCUCUGGCAGUCCCAUCCGGAUGAUGCUGAUUUAGACCCUUUGGUCGGCUGAAGCUGGUAAUAAAUCAAGUCCAUAAUGAGGUGAAGUUGCUGUUGGAACAUGCUAUAACUACAUCAUCACUCCAAAAGGAAUUAUCAGGUAAAAUAGCUGCUUGAUAUCUGGUAAUUUUGCUGAGAGCCUUUCUAAUUGGUUUACUUAUUCGAUGACCUUGCAUAAUUUAUAUAUAUAGAAGGUUUGUUGAUCUGAGAUAAUAUGGACUGAAUUUUUCCAAGUCAUUUAUAAAAGCAUUGGGAUAACAGUCCGUAGCAGCACUCAGAACAGAUCUUUGUUCUCCUGGGACAAGGGGUACUUCAUAGGGAUUUUGCACUCAUGCACCACGUUUUUUCUUGAAAAUAAAUCCCAAAGGUGGUUACAGUAUCAAUACUACACAAUUCCUUUCCCCUUCACUAAAAUAGGGCAGCCCCAAUAAUAUACUUCAUAUCACAGUGGAUUAAGGGCUAGUAAUCCCAUUGCUGUCUAGGGGAUUUAAACACCUUGAUUGCCAAUGAUACCACCAGAAUCCAAAUAACAGAAUUUUUUCUGAAUGCUUCCACACUGCUUUUGCCUACAGCAUCCACCACCAAACCUUAAUUUUCCUGCUUUUCAGCCCACAUGUUUCUUUCCUAAUUUAUUUUAGUUCCUGAUUACAUCUGCCUGUAUCAUUCUAUACGUUAUUUAAGUAUGACAUUUAUUGUUGAAUAAGCCCUACUCGUACAUGCAGUCAUCACUCAACCAUACUAAUGAGAGGCUAACUACAAUUUGUAAGCUGCUGCUGCUCUUUCAGCACUGUAAUUACAUCACUGAUAUUCAACCUUUUUUUGCCCUGUGAGCCACAAGGCCUAUUAUGUGGUCACUAAAGAGCUGAAUGCCUUCUCCACAAAAUGGGAGUAUUUCUGAACAGGCGCCAAACAGUUGGAGGACAUAUGGCCUCAGCCCUAUUGACAUUUCCUUUGCUCUGAAAUAGCACUGAUUAUCCCUCCAAGUGUUCUGCAGGCUGUGUUUUUUCCCAGAAGCUCUUCUGAGUGCCACGAGGGCUCCUCAGAUCUCCUGCAAUGAAGAUGAGGAGGCCCCAUGGCCAGGCCUUGCCCAAGGAGGAGCAGGUGGCAAAGGGCCUCAUCCAGCCACCAGAGAAAGCUCCUCAAGGAUCCUACAAAGGCCUGGAGAGAGCAUGCUGAGAAAGGAGACUUCUCGAGUCCUUAACCCCGGUGUGAGGCCUCAGUCACAUUUUUGCUCCCAGCUUUCGGUGUGGAUGCAACUAACACAUGGCCUGCUCUCCAUGGGAUGCUUAAAAGGAGAGUGAGGAGAGGUGGAGCAAAUGCUGGCCUUUUUUAGCGCUCUUUUACAGCUCUUUCUGUUAUCUGAAAUGCUGCAGUGUAUCAUUAUCUGUUGAUUGCAGUCUUCUGCCCAGUUUUUGCUCCUGCCCAGUCAGCACCCGCCUCCAAGACAAUCUGAAUUAAUUGUGUGAAGGAUUUCAGCAACAUUCAAUGAAAACAAGACAGAGUAGGGCUGAUUCUGAUCCCAGGCAGUCUGAGGUGGCAAAGCUUUCAAGGCUUGAUGGAUUUUAUGGCCCUUUACCCCAAGGAAGGGGAAAGACUGUGUCUACACCUCACUGUACCGCACAUCUAGCAUUUCAUGAGCACAGAACACACCCGGUGGGUGCCAUGAGUUCUCUCAAGCAAUUCUUUCUUUGACCUCUAAGGAUAUUCCUCACCUUCUUUACGAACCUAAGACAUCCACCAUUUUUGCUGCAGUACCCCAUUUUGUGCCCACUGCUGUUGAUACUUCAUGCCUGCAAUACUGAAGCAUGUGCUGAGGAGUAAAUCAGACCUACCAGGUGACUGCUGCCAGGACAACCAUUCAUCCCUUCCCCAAGCACUGGCAGUACAUGUGACUGCUUCCUCUACCUUGCUGUUCUCCAUGGCUUUUCAGUGGCGUUGGCAGAGGUGUGGAAUACUUAUCAGUUAACUCUAUUGACGCAUUAAGUGGAUGUUAUCCAGAUCCACUGACUAAAUACAAGUAUGACUAUUAAUCGUUUCUUUCCCUCAAGGAAGGGAGCCCUGUCAAUUUGUCAGCUAACGCCUUGCCACCUGCCCGACAAGCAGCAUCCUUAUCUUUGUGGAAGUAGUAGUAGAAAUAAUAAUAAUAGCAGAAACAACAACAAUGAAUAAUCUCUCUAAUAUCUCUCCUUGAAUAUAGUGUUAGGCUCACAGGUAAAAAAGGAUGCUGCUUGCUGGAUCUCUUGAUUUGGCAAACCAAAUAACCGGAUCAAAGGAAAGGCUGUUGCACACAUGCCUCAUACUGGCAGUGUGAUAUCUCCAUUGGUGUUCGCCUCUUCCCCACAAUACCUGUGUUGUUUGGCUUCAUCGAGAACUGUGAAAGCGAAGCAGGUUUCCAGCCCCAGCUACACAACCAUGGCUAGAUAUCCUUAAUUCUCCACAUCUGCCCCCUGCCUACAAAGGAGGUGAUCAAAAGAGCUUUUGCACAGCUACAGGAAAUUUUCAGACACAGAAACACAGGGAAGACAUUUCAGCACUGUGCAUACAUUGUAAGUACUAUCAUAUUGCCUUCUCCUCCUUUCUUCCUCCCACCUCCCAGCUAAGCAGAAUUCCACUGUUCUCAAGGUUCACACGGUUGAGGAAAAAUAAAAAAUCUGAUUUUUCCACUGAGUGUCAACAUAGAUUAGAAGCUACAGUAACAUCUUCAGCAUGGGCUGAUAAUAAAUGAACUCAGAAGGUUCAAGUGAUUCAUAUUUGUCAUUUGAAAACGUACCAGACCAAAUCUCAAGUUUGAAGGAAAAGGUCAGAGAAAAAAAUCCAAUCUAUUAAAGCAGAGCAAAUUGUUAGCAAGAGCCAGAUUGGAGCUUUUGUUUUUAAUUAAAAAUCAUUUUAUUUGUCUAUCAUUUGCUUCUAUUGCCCAGCAGAUUUUAUUUGUCGUUUUAAGAAGUAAAUUGAAAAUUUUCUAAAUGUUCUCCUGCCUAGAACUCCCAUUUCUGCCCAUGUAGUGCACAGUGGAGCCUGUUUGCAUCUGAUUUAAAAUCCUCAGGCUCAGCCACUCUUUGGGGAUUGCACUGCUUUUAUUCACGCGCUCCCAGACACGAGGCUGGAUGGAGUUUCCUGUGCUGCUCCCUCUCCAGCCGCUGUGCUGGCAAGCAGGUUAAACUGAAGCAGUGGUGCAGGGAGAUCUUUAAGCAGGUGUUCAUAAAUUGUUGUAGUUCUGCUUCCACUGCGGGGGCUAAUGAAGCCCUCUGGGUUGGCGUAUAAUGAAAUGCAGACUCCCCGUACUCCCCAUGUGCGGAAGUGAACAAAUUCAGAUUCCCUUUUUACUUUCCCAGAUAAUAACUCUUUUGUUUUAACUAAUCUUUCACUUUCAGGGGUGAUUAGAUGGUUGAGCUGAAUGAAUCUUAUUACUUAAAGCCUCUCCUGCCUGUUUCUCAGUGUGUGUUCUGACUCAUGUACCUAUUUUGAUGUAGAAAUUAUUUAGUAAAGGUAUUUUUCCUCCACCUUUAAAAAUAGCAGCAAGCAGGUUUUUGGACUGAGCUUUAUCUGUGUGCAUGGCCAGACACUGGUGCCGAGCUGAGCAAAAGGCAGGGAUGCUAAAAUGCCCUUGCAGAUGAUAUUUGGCCACUGAAUAAGAGAAUGCGAUGGAAAUAUGGAUCUUUAAAGCAUCAUAAAAUGGAUACUAAGCUGAAAAGUACAGCCCUAAUGCAACAGAGCAUUCCCUCACAUCCUCAAGCUUGCAUUCACUGGAUUCAAUGGGACUGUCCCCAAAGGAGCCCAGUGUGGUGCGGCUGUGGGGCAUGUGAUGUGGGGUCACCAUGUGCCAGAGCAGAGGAGAAAGCAACACUCUUCCUCCUUCAGCUCCCAGGAAAUAGGUGCUGGGAUCCAGCUCAUCAGAUCAUGGCAAGGGAGAGGCUGCAGCUACAGCGUAGCCAGGAGCAGAGUGUGCCACGUUCCUUAAUAUAAAUACCACUAACGUAUGUGCAUAGGAUUUUCAUUGAGUUCCCCGUGUACAAUACACCCACGUACUCAAUGUGAAGCCAUUACCUCUGCCUCAUUCUCCCAGUCCAGCCUACGCUCCUAUUUAACUUAGUGCUCCCUGGCCAAGACGCUUCUUGAAUUCCUUAUUCUCCCUGCAAGCUAAUGAUCUCCUGGAGCAUGAUCCAGCAUCUUCCUGACAUAUCUUUCUCCAUGCCAGAAUGCCUGAGAUUCAGCUGCACAAGUAUCCACGUGAAGCUGGAGUCAACUUCCAAAAAGAUCUGCCAUAAAAGAAAGCAGAUAAAGAAGAGAGCAGGGAGGGAGCAGGAGCGGCAGCCAGCAAUUUUCCUGUGCCCGAUGCAGGGGAUUUAUCUGCAUUUCUAGCUAAUAAAAGACAUUAAUUGAUUCACGUGUUUUACGGCUGCACACAGAGCUAUUUCUGGCUGGGAGGAGACACUCUUAAAUGGAAUGAGUCAGACCAGACCUGUUAUGUCACCCUGGGACCCUGGGACCCUGGGAAGAUUCGUUAAUAGCUCUGAACAAAUCAAGUUGCUUCACAGGGCUAUUUUCUUCUCAGACAUCAAAAGGAGAGGGAAAGUAUAGCAAUUCUAAAGGCUGAAAAUAACUUUUUUACAUGGUCCUUUGCAUUUGGCAAAUAGCAACAGGAUAAUCAAAGAGCUUUGCUCUCCACAAGGCGCUUGCAUUGAAAUCUCAGCAGGAUUUAUCAGCCCAGCCAAACCUAAUCUCCAGAGACACGGCUCUGAGCUGAGCAAAGUCCAGGCAGGUCACAGCUCCUCAAUUCACUUCCCAGGAUUUCUUCCAGAUUAACUUCGCAAAUCAAACGAUUGCGCUGAGAGUUUUACAGGAAGGGAAGUCUGUAGUUUUGCCUCUUAAAAACACAUAGAAAACAGAUUUUCUCUCUUCAACCCGCCUCCCUGUGAUUUCCUAUAUUUUCUGUUUUUCCAGACAGCAGUAAAGCUUGUUUAAAAUUCAAAAUGGUGCCGGAAACGAAACCAUUUUAAACCAGAAUUUGUCUACAGCAAAGAACUAAGCUGCAGCUGAUCUGCUUCAUGUUCUUGGUCUCCUUCUGGGUCACAACGCCUUACCAGAUGACAGCUCCAGGAUGUGACACACGGUGGCAGCUGAGAUGUUCCCUAUGGGAAGGAGUCCAGCCAAGGACUCCACAGAUACGGUGGUCCCAAGUGGUGAAGGGGAUAUAAGGAAGCCCAGGUGGAUCUUCAGCCCAUCAACUACAUUUCCACCUUCAAUGUGGAAAGUGAAUCCGAUAGUUUUAAACUGAGAAAUAUCUAUGCUUUGUUUUUCACCAGAAAACCAAAAAUAUCCAUGGAAAAUGUUGACAAAUGGAAAGCAUUUGUCAUUUCUGUUUCUGUUUCCCUGGUGACAAAAAAAAAAUAAUAAAAUGGAAUUUCCAACAAAGACGAAGCCUGCAGCUCACAGUCUUGGCCAGUUCAUCCGGUAUUUGUCCUUGCCCUUACCUUAAUAGUCCAAAAUAGCAUAAUGGUGGUAAAAGCCUGAAAAAUGGCUCUCACUUGUCUACUAAGCUGGAGCUUGUUGGCCCUUGUUACUGCCUGUCCAUGGCUGUUCUCAAUGGGAUAAGUGCCUGUACUGGCCUCAUCCUGUUUAGAAAGUGGUAGCUGUGCUUUGUUGUCAUGUCAGCUCUUGCUAGGGAGACAGCAUUGCUCUUUGUGGUUGAUAGGACAUGUUUUCUGUUGUUUUUAUCAGGCUUUUUUUUGGCAUUGACAUCUUGAAUAUUCACAGCUCUUGGACAUCUGAGGCGUCCAUCAAAGGACUCCUCUCUUUGUUGUAGAUAUGCAAAGCAGAAGCCUACAUGUUCUGAACUUUCCUCACACUGCGUGGUGAGAGUAAUUUAGUAGCCUAGGGUUUGUCAAUCUGCAAGCAGUCCUGAUGAGACAGCAUUAGCUGAUUUAAAGGGGGUGGGGGGAAGUACAGGCUUCCUCACAGCCUUACACCCUUACAGUUCAGACCAAUCUGCCCCCAGCCAUGCUCGCAUUGCCAUCUUUCUUAUGGAAAAAGCAAACUAAGGAACAAAUAUCCUAAAUGAAUUCCCUUGAAGUCACCACUGCCACGGAGCCUGAUGGAGGAAGGCUUUGUGCACCAUUUGCACAACUGCCGGGUUGCAGUUUUUUAGCUCUCCUUCUCUAUAUUAGAAAGAGAGUGAGGAUGUAUUUGGAGAAAGCCACCUUCUGUGAGAGCAACUUGUGUUGACUUACGCAGAUAAAGAAAUUCAGUCUCUGUGUGCUCCAGCACCUCAACACCUUGCAAAGCCCCAUUCUCCAGGUGGCUUCAGCCGGCUGGCUCCACCAGCCCAAAUUUCCUGUUUUCACACAACAAGAAGGGAUUUUGCUGUUCUCCCUGCUAUCAGUGAAGGCUUCCAUUAAAACACCCUGCAAUCCUUAAAGACAAGAAAUUACUGUGGCACAGCAAGGAUCAAUACAAGCAAGAUAAAUACAGCUUCUGUUAGCCAGAGCUCGUACUUCAUAACACGAAUCUCAAAAUGCGAUGCAAGCUACAAAUCCAGGCUAGUCGUUCUAUAAGGCCAUGCUCUUUCUGUAAUGCAGUGUGUUGUGACUCUAAAGAAUGGGUUUCAACUCAUGCUGGAGUUGAAUUGUUUUAAGGAGUGAUGCUGCUGAUAAGGUUGCAUCACUCCUCCCCUGCCCUUGGCAACUUGCUCCUUGCCAUGUCUGUCAUCCAGCAUCCAGUGUAGCAUCCAGGGGGACUCAGCAGGAACUGAUUCAGUUUCAAACCAGUCUGGGUUUGGUUCCAUCCCACUUGAAGUUUCCAGCCUGACCCGCUGUGUGGUGACACUAGCAUUUGUGGUGGCACAAAAGAAGAUGCAAUGAAGAGAAAGAAGAUGAGCAAUAUAUCUAUGCUAGCUGCCCUGCUGGGGGAUGCAAUUUUAAACUACAUCCAAAUCCCCUAGCUUUAGCUGUAAAACUUGUAUACAUUGUCUCAUCAACCAUCCAUACAGUGUGUGCAGAGAAACACUUCUAUCCCACUGAAGAGAUGCCCACCUCUCACCAUGGACUUUUUGAGAGCCUACAUGAUUAGCUUAGGCUGAGAGCCCAAUUUUUAACUGCUGUUGUAAACAAGAUGAUAUAAAUCCCAUGUCCUUGAGCAAUAUAGAGGACUUCAACAUUAUUGUGAGACAUGGGGCCACCUCAGAAAGGAGGGUGCACUGCAAUGUUCCCUUUUUAGAGAGCCCUGGGGGCUUAAUGUUUGGGGCAGGGGUCCUAUCUUGGCUAGAAAACCAGUGGGCAGACAAGGAAUGCAACAGCCUACUCUGCUUUGCUUCUGAUGCAUUCAGUUCCUGCAGAAUAAGCCUGCGAGUACACACAACUCUCAUGAAAAAUCUGAGCAGUCGGAAGCUGAUGUACUCAGAAGGACAGCAGCUUUUUCUUUGGGGAUAUUAUUUGUCCUUUCAGAACAAAGCUAUAAAGACUCAAAUAAUCCAUCCUUCUCAGGGAAAUUGUCCUUCAUUCUACUCUCAUCAGACGCUCUGGUUGCCAGCACAGGGUUAUUACAGAAACAUUGUCCCUGCUGGGCUCCAAGCUUCCUCUCAGUGCUCCUAGGUUAGAAAAAGGGAACCAGUACUGGAAGGCUGCCAUCCUCUGAGCCUUGUUUCAUGAAUGCUGGGACUUAAGGCUCCUUCAUGGACCGACCAAGCUCCAUGCUGCAGAGCUGGCAUGUUCUUCUCGGCGCAUACCAAUGCACCAACUGGCUGACUGUCAGAGAACUUCACAGCUCUGACCUUCAAACUUCUUGGACUAAUCUUGUCCAUAACCAGUCCUCACCUACUUGUCUUUGUGCUGGCAUUGUCCUCUGGUUUACACAUGAUUUUCCCUCGCAACUAUUAAGGCACUGCUGUGUUUGUGUAGGAUGUCCCCCUGCCUCCCAUUUUUUCUCUCCUGGGCUAAGCAAGCUGAACUGCUGCAGUCUCACUUUGCCUGACAGGACCACUGCUCCUCAACAAACUCUCUGUGCCAUGGUUUUGUGCAUGCUUGAGAUUGAACUAAUCUUCCUUUAACAAAGCAGACAAAAAGAAGCUGCUCAGUGACUCCUGCAAAUUCUGCAGGUGAUUUCUUACCUGGAGAAGACUAAAUAAUAGCUCAAAGGCACCAGAUUGUUUGGGUUUUUUUCCUCUUUUCUUCUUCCCCCUAAUAAGCGAGAGUGGAUGGCCUAUAUCAUUCUGAGGGCUGGAGGCUUCUGUCUCAGGGUGUCUGAUCAAUGCCAAGACUACGUGUUUAUCAGAAUCAGUAGAGCACCCCAGAGUGGAUGUAUUAGAGAGGUAUAUUCUUAAGUCAGUCACCCUGGGGAACUACAGGCCCAUCUCUGUGCCUGAGAAUGUCAUGGAGCAGUUCCUCCAGCAAGAGAUGCUGAGGCACACAUGAGAUGAGGUGAUCCAAGACAUCCAGCAUGGCUUGACCAAGAGCAGUCCAUGCCUGACCCACUGGGACUGGAACUAUGUGAUCUUUAAGGUCCCUUCCAGUCUAAGCCAUUCUAUGAUUGUAUGAUUCUAUGUGCUACACAACAGGGUCUCCUUCUCCCCAGGCCAUAUUGAGGGAGACUGAGCAGCGAAGUCAGAUGGAGAGGCCACAUUGACUCUAUUUUGCCUUUGCUGCUUGUUUCAGAAAGGAAAGAGGAAUAUCUGCUGUGACUCACAUAUGCCUGGGAAAUCUGCACGAGCAAAUGUGCAGCUACAAACAUGGGCUUCUCUCCUAGCCAGCAACUUAACCUGGCAGGGGUCCUAGUCCCACUCCAGCAAUUUUUCUGCUCAUAAAUAUAUCUGAAUUGACAUCUGUGCAGACAUGGGGCUUCUGCUGGGAAUUGUCUCUCUCAAUCCCCAUGGUGCAGGAUGAUGAGAGGAAACCUGAAAAGUGAACCCUGCUUAUGCUCUCUCACUUCCCCUCAAACGCUGCUGAAGACUUGCUGCAAAAUCCACAGGAAAAAGCAAAGUCGCUAUUUCAGCUUCAUCAGUACUGUUAGCAGAGCACAGAGAUCUGUCUGAGCGCUUCCUGGAUGAGACUGUCCUAAAGCCUGGAUGGCAACGGGUACCUCAGCAUCCUCCUGAAGAAAAGACAUUCACUCAUGUUGGCGUAAGCAAGUGACCAAUGGAGAAACUGGAUGCCAUCAAGUCAUGAGGAUAAUGCAAACCCUGUUGUUCUGGUGCAAGGACAGCCUGAACAGGUCCAUGACUGUACCACCCAUACUGACUGGGUCAGCCUCAGGAUGCUGCAGACCAGCAGCUUUCUGAUAUGAUCUGAAAGUCACCUCAGCUGUGUGCUGGUUAUGACUAACGUAUCAUGUAGAUUCAGUCACUGUGUCUCCUAUCACUAAGACUUCUUCCCCUCUGGCCACCAAACUUUGUUCCUGAUCUCUGCAUCAUUUCAGAUACAUUUUCUUGUCCUGUCUCUGUUUGUCCAGUUUCAAAAUUAAGUUAGUAAUCUCAAACUAUAUGUUGGGUUUCUUGAGAAAAAACGUGCAGGAAAAUGCUUUGCAAAUGGUUAAAAUUAUUUCUACUUUUGCCAUCCAUCCCCCCUGUUCAGUGCCCCUUCUACAGUUCAGCCUAAAUGUUUCAAGGUACUUCCUUCUUAUCUGCAUAUGAAAAGCAGUCAGCAGCUCUGAAGGGCUUGUUUAGAAAUUCUAACUGCAGCUAUCUAUUAGGUUUUCACUUGCUCUAUUCAAAUCUUUGUUCACAUCUAAGGAAUGAAAGCUCCAUAAUGAGAAUGAUCAUGGGAGUCCAUGAUACUCCUGAGAGCAGGAAGAAGAGGUUUUCUUGAUGGCAGGUUGGUGGGAGAUGAGUGAUGAAGAAUGAUGGGACCUGGACAGGCUGCCCCAAUGACUGUCUGUUAGCUAUGGCUCUCUGCACCCCUCACACACUGUCAGGGUCUGUUCCCCUUCUACUUGCACGUGAAAAACUUCAGAAGAACCACCAAUCACUUCAGGAAUCCUAAGAAAUAAGACCGGAGACUCAAGAUUUUCCACACAGCUUCUCUGAGGAAGCUUCUCACUGGAGGAAUGGCAGGAACUCCUAUCACUCACCAAAGGAGAAGUCGGAACUGACAACGUGCUGUCAUCAGGAGCUGCCCUGCUGAGUCAUGGAUGGAUGCUUCAGCAGUGAGAUAUGGAGGUAUUGGGCCAUGUGUGUGUUUUACAUGGCAGAAGUGGUGUCAGGAUAUUCCACCAGACACUGAUGGUGUGGAAGGAUGCUGAGCUGCUGGAGGACCUGACUUGUUCUCUGCUUUAUGUCUGGAGGGCACAAGUGGGAAUUGGACUUCUUGGCACCCUGUGGCUACCAUGUCCUCAUCUGCAGCCAGCCUGGAGGCAGGAAGCAGGGCUUAGGAGCACGAUGGACACGGCAUGAGGGAUUUCAAGACCCUGGAGAAUUUUAAAGCCAAUACGUCGAAGAGUAUGCAAGACAGAAUGGGAUUCCUCAAGUUCUGAGAAGAAAUGGAGAUGCUUUCAGAAAGGAGACAUCUAUCCUAGAAACAAGCAGUAGCUGAGCAGUGAGAAUGGUCUCAGCCCUCCAAAAGCGAUGCUUUUUGGCACAGCUGUGGGGGAAUCAGUACAGACUCUCCUCUCCUUUCCAGUGUCUCUGGUCAACCCUAGACUGGUAUCCUUCUCAACAGACCGUAACUUUCAUGGUUCCUGCUGGUCUAUGAAAAGAGGCAGGGGGCUUGCUCUGGAAAAUAUGUGCAAGAAGGAAAAAAACUAUGUUCCCAUCCUUCAGCCCACAGCCCUCCCCAAUGCCCCAGUAAGAGCCAUCCUUAGAAUCACAGAAUUCUAGAAUGAUUUGGGUUGGAAGGGACCUCAAGGGUCAUCAAGUUCCAACCUCCAGGUACGGGCAGGACUGCCUACCACUAGAUCAUGUACUAGAUCAGGCUGCCCAGUUCCCCAUCCAACCUGGCCUUAAACACCUCCAGGGAUGGGGCAUCCGCAGUCUCUCUGGGCAGCUGUUCCAGCACCUCACCACUCUCUCCGUAAAAAACUUCCCGAUACCUAAUCUAAAUCUUCCUUCCUUUAGUAUAAAACCAUUCCCCUUUGUCCUAUCACUACCUACCCACGUCCUUUUGAGAUUCCUGCCUCUUGCUUCCCCUGCAAUUUUUGUUUAUGGAGAACAAUAGCAAACUUUGGACUCCACAAACUUCCCCAGCCUACAGAAGAGGUAUGCCAGAACCUGGUUCCAAAACUAAGCUGCGUCACAGCCAUGACACCCUGGCAUGUGGGAAAUUGCUAAGCCCUAUGUCUCCUUGAAUGCCCCCAAAGUAGCUGAGCAAUUAGAAAUACAUUCCAGCUGAAGCAGUACCCUUCAGGUACGUGCCAGAGACAAACCACUCCUUCUCUGGAAUGGUUCCAAUUUCUCAGAUCUGGGCUUCACCAUGAAAACUUCUUAGCACCCCCUUCAAUACCUGCUGUGCCAACCUACGAAAGCACAGUCCCUCCACUUGGGAGCACUCUCCUUCUCACUAGCCCAAGGCUUCCAGCAGCCCACACAGCAUACUGGCACACUGCAAGGAAAAGAAGCAGAAUGACAGCCGCAUCCUGUUGGUGAUCUCAGCUCUGAAAUAGUCUGGGGCAACAAAGUGAUGCUGUAAGCUGUGAAACCUAACGUUCCUGCUGUCCCGUGCCAGGAACUGGCCUCCAGGUUACUGUCAAGUCAGAAGGAAGAAAACAUUUGGUGUAUCCCCACUUAGGAACUGUGGUUCCCAUCCUCAUCCUGUGACUUCUAGACAGUACCACAAUGUGAAACAAUCACAGCCAUGGGCCCAUGCACCGUCAACAGAUGGAGAUUAAUCUGCUUCAAAGAGCAGGAAGAGUCAAUAAAUGAGCUUAAGUUUGUCUCUCAAAGACUGUCUGCAAUUACAUUUAUGGCAUUCGUCGUUUGAAGCCCCCCCAACUGUCCACCGUUUUGUACUGGCUGCUGAAGAGUGAACUGAAACUCCUGGGAUCAAUUUUCCUAUGAGUGAGUAUUAAACCUGGAAAGCAAACCUGGAAAGCAAAUCUAGGGCUUGUGUCUCCAAAGACACUUCUCAGAUGAUGAGCCAGUGUUCCUUCCACAGGCAUUAAGAAAAUAAACUGUAUAUAAUACACUGGCUUUACUGUAACAGUCCAUAUUUGGCAUACCCAAGCUCUUCACCUGCUGAAAUCUGACUAUGGGACUUGGUUGUUCUGAGGAAACAGGAGAGAUCAGAAUUACAGAUUCCGCUGCUGAGUCCUCCAUAUGCCCCCAGGAAUCACAGGCUUUUUUUUCAUAGUACUUCAAUCCCUUAUUUACAAUCUGCAAACACAUUACAAUUGAUUGGUGGCCUGCUAAAGAAACAGUAUUGCAAAUCCAAAGGGGAUUCCUAAUUUCACUUAAAAGCCCUCUGUGAAGAGAUAACCAGCCUCAGGUGCUCAGUAACACUGUAGUAGAAAAUCAUAAGGUUAUUUUAUACACCAAUUCUUGAUAAUAAAUACAGAAAAAGACAUUCUUCAAAGAGAAGUUUGCAGCAUGCAGCCGAAGCUCCCUGUUUCACAGGUAGCUGGUCUGUGAUUGCCAGCUUUUCACCAGCCUUCAGCUCAGCUUUCAAAGGUACCUGCCAAAAUGUUGCAGAGAGUUGACAGACUCCCUGUGAAAGGGCAUCCGGUAGGCAGGGCUUUUUUCUUCUCCUCUCAGCUAUUGCAAUUUAUUUUGAUAUGCUGCUGGCACACAGCAGAAAGAAGAGAAAUCCAUUCUAGAGCACCACGUUACUGAAAACCAUUGCUAGGCACUGAGCAGAGCGCUGGCCGCGGUUGGGUCUGCAGGACAAGUGGGCAGCAAAAUAAUUUGCUAACCACAGAAGAAUGAAUGGAGCAACAGCUACUGUGCUUUACAUUGCCAUGGAAACAUAAGGUAUCAGCAGUGGCAGGGUGGUCUUUUCUUGUUGAAACAUAACAUUUUGUUUUAACGCUCACUCGGUAAGAAAGAAGAGGUCACCCAACCUGGUGAGCAUCUUCCCUUCCCGCUUCAGUCCCAUCUGUGUCCUCCAGGAAGUACACUUCAUGAGACUGAGUUAAAAACACCAUCAAUAGGUGAUGCAACACGAUCUCUGAACGACAAGUGCCUCUUCACAUGCACUGUUGAGGCUGCCUACAGCAGAAGGUUUGGCUGUUGGUGCAGGAAAUGGGCUCUGUUCAAUAGCCAGCUGUGGGCUUCUUGCACCAGAAAGCUGCAUCUCCUGGCUUGGCAGUGAUGUAUGUGCCCCAUGCCCUCCUUGUGGUCAUUUUUCUGCCACUUACUUAUAAAGCUCACAGAUUAGCUGCCAAUCCUCAUCGCUCACAGACUGGGAGGCAUCAGCUUGAAGAGCCCUGUUCUGAAAGUCCCUCCGCAUUGUGCUUAAUGCUCUAUUGGCAGCCAGUUGAUCAGAAGGCAGAAGGGUUCCAGCCCCUCACCUUGCUUAUUUCAAGGCACCAGCCAGAAGGUGACCCCAGGGGCUGCUCUGGGUUUGCUUAAGCCCAUCCCAUCCCAGGCCUAUGGAGGUGGCAUGCUGCACAGCAGCUGCAGGCACUGCUACGGUUUCAGCGACCUCCUGCUCUCCUCCCUGCCAGAUAUUCGUAGGGCUAUAAAAAAGAGCUGUCCAGACUGCUGAGAAAUGGACGGUCGUGCCUGGAGUCGGCUAAAUAAUUCAGAGUGGAUUGAAAUGCCCUAUUGCGUAAUGGAAUCUUUCUGCAAAGCCGUGCAGCGGUUUCCACAUCCCAAUGAUCCUAUUUUCAAGUCAAUACAAUUAGGUGUCAGAAUAUGCAAUCGCUGAAAUUAAUCUGGAAUCAGAAUGCAAGGGAUCUUUAGCGCACACGCACUGCAAGACACCAUCAAAGUCAUUAGACGUUAUCCAGGAUGAACAUAAAAUGAUUCAUUGGGAUGCUGCAGGCUGUGGCUUUGACAUCUCCCCAUUGAUAUGAUAUGUGUAACAAGUGUUUAAUGAGAAAAAGGACUCAACACACCUAACCCUCAAUUUUCACAUAAUCUAUUCAUGGCGUGUUGCAGAUGCAGGCAUGAAAAAAUGACCCUUAAACUUCUUGUUUUUUCCUGAUUUUAAUGAGUCUGCUGCACAUGAGGAUUGCUAAUGACAGAGGAGGCAGUAAAUUCCACCCUGUAGAUGCUUCAUUGCGUGUUUUGUAGGGGAUCAAUGCUGGGUUAAAACAGAUAUAAGCCAAGACCCCCAGAGAACACAGUGAGGGUAAGAACCUGGGCUAUGGGAAAGAAACACAAGGCUGCCAGGAUGGCAACAGGGGAACAGCUACAACAGCAGGGAACCAGGAGAGUGCUGGAGAGAGAGGAGUCAGAUCCUCCAAACUGCUAAUGACAAAUUAGUUAAUAAAUCUCUUCCCCCAGCACACUCAUCUCUGAUUCAUAUUUAUAUGCCAAUGGACCAGUAGAACUAUUGGUUUCUGAGCUGCUGCUUGCAAAAGGAGCUCAGCCUUCUGUAUGUUGGGUUCUCCAAAAGGAACAGAAGUGUGUGGAAAAGGAGAAUGCACACCAGCAUGUGUACAAGGGGAGGAUAUGGUGCCAGUAAGUAUAAAAACCUUAUUCCAUUUUUUCCCACGUUGUAUCACAUCUGGUGCCUAAGCAAAGCUGGCGGCAUGCUGAACGCUAUAAAUCCACGGAGGUGUCUGCAUAAAGAUUAGUUUGCAUACAGAUAUGUCAUUUACAAAAUACAGAGCCUGUCACAGAUACUCUUCAGCUUGCAGAAAAACCAAGGAAGGUGGAAAGAAUGUGCAAAUGAGGGAAUACAGAGGAUGGGUAGGUCAAGACAUCUCAGGAAGGAAAUGAUCUGAUCCUCACGUUGGCAUGGGACGUUCCACAGCCCUAUCAUUAUCAGCACGCUCUUCUAAGAGUCACACGAACGCCAACUUGCUGUGGUGUUUUGGGCAAACUGACACAGCCAUGAGUCACCCCGAGUGCUUCCCAUGCCCGUCCAGCAGGAGGGCAGCACCACACCGGGGGAGCAGCACGGACACAGUGCUGGGAAAGCUCUGCAGCUGUGAGGGCAGAAAGAGAUGAGAAAGUGGAGCUGCCACCCACCUCCACUGGCUGAGACAGCAGAGCAGCUCGGGAAGAUCUUGGUUGCUAAGUACGAUCUAGAGCUGCAUUGUCCUCUUUUGUGUUUGUAGGAGGUUCCCUUGUAACAAACAUGAAUGCUACUCUGUCAGAAAGAGCGAGCUGCUGCUUUAUUCUUGAGGCUUGUCUUGCAAUAAACCUGUGUGAUGACCCUGAUGACAUCAGGCCCUCCAACUCCAGGUGUUGGCACACCAGGUUACUGUGGGAGCACAGUGGAAUCCCUGCAGGGCUGCAGGAUGAGGUUCUGGCCAUGGACUGGCAGCAGAUGGUGGCACGACACCUCCCUCAGCUCAUGCUAAACUGAGCCCAAGGGAGGAGCAGCCACAAGGCUCAGAUCAUCUUCCCCCCCUUCUUUGCCUCCUCUCACUCUCACAAACCCCACAGUUUCCAAACCCCAAACUCACACAACAGCUAUCUUCCACUGCUCCAACACCAUGGAAUGCACGGUCUGCCUGUGUUUACAACAGCUCAUCCACCUGCAUGUGGCCUGGGAGGAAAAGGUGAUCAUUUUCCAAGGUAGGACUACUUCAAGGACAAUUUUCUCCUUUCUCCACACAAAUAUGUGAGUGCACGAGGUACCAAACACGCUUCAGGACAACGAGAACAGAAGCCCCAUCAGGGAAAUACCACAUUCAGGCUGUAAAUCUUGCCACAUCUACACCAAAUGUCACACGAUAAAACCUAACCGUGGGUAGCUCUUAUUGCUCAGUCACCAGACCCUACACCAACAUCUUUUGCACAUUGCCCACACUGCAGGAUGCUCCGAGGCGAUGCCAGCAGCGCAGUCAUGCUUCAACAGCCACAUCAUGCUGUCUUGUGUACAUGGUUUGAUUUUCUUUCCUGCCUACUGGCACCACUGGAGAACAACUUCGGUGCAAAUUUUAGAGUGGUGCUUCAAGAAAAAAAAGUUUCCUACAGGCAUGAGCUUACAUGAAAGUAGCAAAUUCUAGGAAAAGUCUUUUUUUCGUCCCUGAGAGAUGACUCUGCAGUAGAGUCCCCCACGUUCCUCCUGCUUCAUUGCUCCCUUACCCCCAGUGCUCAGUUCAACUUUUCCUACAAAAGCCUCGCUAUAUUUAACAUUGUUGUAGCACUACCAGGAAAACAAAGAAGUGUUUGAGUUACGAAGCAGCUCAUCAUCUGCUCUACAGAAUCUCUGCUGCUGGAACAGAUUGGUGAAAUACGGAGAGCCCAAUUCAAUUCUGAAACAAUUUUUAGGGUGUGAGGCUGGCAGUGAGAAAAUGAAAUGAAACGAAAUAAAACGAAAUAAAAUGAAAUAAAGACUGCAUCUUUUUUUUUACCUGAAAACUCAACAAUCUUGAUCUGAAUUGAGUUUACUGUUCCUUAAGACAUAC